rnacentral:rRNA from 1 species
UACGUAGGGUGCGAGCGUUAAUCGGAAUUACUGGGCGUAAAGCGCACGUAGGCGGCUUUCUAAGUCAGGGGUGAAAUCCUGGAGCUCAACUCCAGAACUGCCUUUGAUACUGGAGAGCUUGAGUCCGGGAGAGGUGAGUGGAACUCCGAGUGUAGAGGUGAAAUUCGUAGAUAUUCGGAAGAACACCAGUGGCGAAGGCGGCUCACUGGCCCGGUACUGACGCUGAUGUGCGAAAGCGUGGGGAGCAAACAGG